AUUGAACGCUGGCGGCAUGCUUUACACAUGCAAGUCGGACGAGUGGCGGACGGGUGAGUAAUAUAUCGGAACGUACCGAGUAAUGGGGGAUAACUAAUCGAAAGAUUAGCUAAUACCGCCUAUUAUUCGAGCGGCCGAUAGCUGAUUAGCUAGUCGGUGGGGUAACUGCCUACCAAGGCGACGUUCAGUCGCGGGUCUGAGAGGAUGAUCUGCCAGACUGGGACUGAGACACGGCCCAGACUCCUACGGGAGGCAGCAGUGGGGAAUUUUGGACAAUGGGCGCAAGCCUGAUCCAGCCAUGCCGCGUGUCUGAAGAAGGCCGUCGGGUUGUAAAGGACGUUUGUCAGGGAAGCGGUACCUGAAGAAUAAGCACCGGCUAACUACGGGCCAGCCGCCGCGGUAAUAC
rnacentral:rRNA from 1 species